rfam:TPA: Aspergillus nidulans FGSC A4 chromosome VIII
GUACCUUUGCAACACUCUGGCUCUUACCGUUCUUUCCCGCCUCCGGGCCUGGAUUGAACAACUACCUCGUGGUAUAGGCUUAUUUUGCGCAAAGGAGAUCAACGACCCUCUACUCACCGCGGUGUUCUCGGACGAAGCAAGCUUCGUCCCGUGGAUACAGUGGUCCAUUUCAUCGGUCUACAU